UGUUGGAUAUGGUCGUUUAAGUUGGUAGGUGGGAAGUUUAGGCAAAUCCGGACUUCCUUAACACUGAGAGAUGAUGACGAGGCUCUACGGAGCUGAAGUAACCGAUACCACACUUCCAGGAAAAGCCACUAAGCGAAAGGCUUUACUAAACCGUACUGAAAACCGACACAGGUGGUCAGGUAGAGAAUACUCAGGCGCUUGAGAGAACUCGGGUGAAGGAACUAGGCAAAAUAGCACCGUAACUUCGGGAGAAGGUGCGCCGGCGUAGAUUGUAAGGGCUAGCCCCUGAAGGUUGAACCGGUCGAAGAUACCAGCUGGCUGCAACUGUUUAUUAAAAACACAGCACUCUGCAAACACGAAAGUGGACGUAUAGGGUGUGAUGCCUGCCCGGUGCUGGAAGGUUAAUUGAUGGUGUAAUCGAAAGAGAAGCUCCUGAUCGAAGCCCCAGUAAACGGCGGCCGUAACUAUAACGGUCCUAAGGUAGCGAAAUUCCUUGUCGGGUAAGUUCCGACCUGCACGAAUGGCAUAAUGAUGGCCAGGCUGUCUCCACCCGAGACUCAGUGAAAUUGAAAUCGCCGUGAAGAUGCGGUGUACCCGCGGCUAGACGGAAAGACCCCGUGAACCUUUACUAUAGCUUGACACUGAACAUUGAAUUUUGAUGUGUAGGAUAGGUGGGAGACUUAGAAGUAGUCACGCCAGUGAUUAUGGAGUCGUCCUUGAAAUACCACCCUUUAACGUUUGAUGUUCUAACGAAGAUUACGAAACGUGGUCUCGGACAGUGUCUGGUGGGUAGUUUGACUGGGGCGGUCUCCUCCCAAAGAGUAACGGAGGAGCACGAAGGUUUGCUAAUCACGGUCGGACAUCGUGAGGUUAGUGCAAUGGUAUAAGCAAGCUUAACUGCGAGACAGACAAGUCGAGCAGGUACGAAAGUAGGUCAUAGUGAUCCGGUGGUUCUGAAUGGAAGGGCCAUCGCUCAACGGAUAAAAGGUACUCCGGGGAUAACAGGCUGAUACCGCCCAAGAGUUCAUAUCGACGGCGGUGUUUGGCACCUCGAUGUCGGCUCAUCACAUCCUGGGGCUGAAGUAGGUCCCAAGG
rnacentral:rRNA from 1 species